rnacentral:tRNA from 1 species
GUGUAUAUAGCUCAGUAGCAGAGCACUUGCCUAGCAUGCAAGAGGCCCUGGGUUUGAUCCCUAGCACU